rnacentral:rRNA from 1 species
GACGAACGCUGGCGGCGUGCCUAAUACAUGCAAGUCGAACGCAGUGGGGACGGGUGAGUAACACGUGGGUAACCUCCCAUCAGAGGGGAUAACACUUGGCAACAGGUGCUAAACCGAUACUGAUGGAUGGACCCGCGGUGCAUUAGCUAGUUGGUGAGGUAACGGCUCACCAAGGCCACGAUGCAUAGCUGACAUGAGAGGAUGACCGGCCACACUGGAACUGAGACACGGCCCAGACUCCUACGGGAGGCAGCAGUAGGGAAUAUUGGGCAAUGGACGAAAGUCUGACCGAGCAACGCCGCGUGUGUGAAGAAGGUCUUCGGAUCGUAAAGCUCUGUUGUUAGAGAAGCGGUAUCUAACCAAAAAGCCACGGCUAACUACGUGCCAGCAGCCGCGGUAAUUC